rnacentral:rRNA from 1 species
GUGGGGAAUAUUGGACAAUGGGCGAAAGCCUGAUCCAGCCAUGCCGCGUGUGUGAAGAAGGUCUUCGGAUUGUAAAGCACUUUAAGUUGGGAGGAAGGGCAGUAAGUUAAUACCUUGCUGUUUUGACGUUACCGACAGAAUAAGCACCGGCUAACUUCGUGCCAGCAGCCGCGGUAAUACGUAGGGGGCAAGCGUUGUCCGGAAUGAUUGGGCGUAAAGGGCGCGUAGGCGGCCCGGUAAGUCUGAAGUGAAAGUCCUGCUUUUAAGGUGGGAAUUGCUUUGGAUACUGUCGGGCUUGAGUGCAGGAGAGGUAAGCGGAAUUCCCGGUGUAGCGGUGAAAUGCGUAGAGAUCGGGAGGAACACCAGUGGCGAAGGCGGCUUACUGGACUGUAACUGACGCUGAGGCGCGAAAGUGUGGGGAGCAAACAGGAUUAGAAACCCCUGUAGUCC